rnacentral:rRNA from 1 species
AACAAGGUCUCCGUUGGUGAACCAGCGGAGGGAUCAUUACAGAGUUUCCAACUCUUCUAACCCUUUGUGAACUUAUUCCGCUCUGUUGCUUCGGCAGGCGGGUGCUGCAUGAGUCUGUUUGGGCUCUAGGCGCCCCUCUGGCUCCUGUGCUUCGGCACGGGGGUGUCUGCCGGAGGCCAUCUAGGCGCUGAUUUUUAUAUUCUUUGUGUAAAGAAGACUCGUACGAGUUGGAUUUUACUGUUUAUUCAGAACAAAAAAACAAAUCAAAUUACAACUUUUAGCAAUGGAUCUCUUGGUUCUGGCAUCGAUGAAGAACGCAGCGAAAUGCGAUACGUAAUGUGAAUUGCAGAUUUCAGUGAAUCAUCGAAUCUUUGAACGCACCUUGCGCCCGCUAGUAUUCUAGCGGGCAUGCCUAUUCGAGCGUCAUUUCUACCCUCAAGCCUCGGCUUGGUGUUGGAGGCAUUUUUCCUCUCGCAAGAAAGGAAAAACCUCUGAAAUCCAGCGGCGACAGUGCUUUCUGGCCGUCCCCUGCAAAGUAAACUUAUACUGGCAGUUUGGGAUCCAGGCAUGCGUUAGCCUCUAAAAACCCCUAUUUUUACAAUAGUUGACCUCGAAUUAGGUAGGAAUACCCGCUGAACUUAAGCA